GUGAAUCAUCGAAUCUUUGAACGCAACUUGCGCUCUCUGGUAUUCCGGAGAGCAUGCCUGUUUGAGUGUCAUGAAAUCUCAACCAUUAGGGUUUCUUAAUGGCUUGGAUUUGGGUGUUGCCAGUCUCUGGCUCGCCUUAAAGGAGUUAGCGAGUUUAACAAUGUCCUCUGACGUAAUAAGUUUCGUUGGAAAGGCUUGUGAAGUUUGCUUCUAAUCGUCUUCGGACAAUUACUUUGACUCUGGCCUCAAAUCAGGUAGGACUACCCGCUGAACUUAAGCAUAUCAAUAAGCGGAGGA
rnacentral:misc_RNA from 1 species